GACGAACCGAGCGAACGUUGUUCGGAAUUACUGGGCGUAAAGCGCGCGUAGGCGGCUUUGCAAGUCGGGUGUGAAAUCCCCAGGCUUAACCUGGGAACUGCAUUCGAGACUGCAUUGCUAGAGUAUGGGAGAGGGAAGUGGAAUUUCCGGUGUAGCGGUGAAAUGCGUAGAUAUCGGAAGGAACAUCAGUGGCGAAAGCGACUUCCUGGACCAAUACUGACGCUCAUGUGCGAAAGCGUGGGGAGCAAACAGG
rnacentral:rRNA from 1 species